ACUACCGUCAUUUUCAUCUCAUUCUCCCUAAAAAAUUUAUGAACUCCAUCUCCCUCACAUUCUCUUCUUCCUUAACCUCCCUUCCUCACAAGAACAACCAGCACGAGCAACAAAGGCCGCCAGCCCACGCCAGCAGCCUCCGACUUCCAGCAGCCGCAGCCGCAACUCUUUCACGCCACCACCAGCAGGCCAAGAUAGCCUGUGCACGCGUUUCUUCUCCUUUUUCCCCAUUGUUUUUUGUGUUCACUUCAUGAGAGGUCAUAAAACCCUGUAUUGGUGAUUCUUUUGACUUUUGCAGAGUGUCAGCAACUUCAGUUUACACUUCACAGUCACGAGUCAGUGAGUCACGACAGUCGACAACACCCGUUGCCAGCCUGAAUCCUUCUGUUUCUGACCGUGGAGGCGUGGCUUGAUGGUUGACACAGUGACGCUGCCGCGGUGCCGCCUCGGGGAACAGACGAACAGUCGAACAGAGAGUCGUGAAGAAUCUGCUGUUUCUUGAAAUUCUGAAUGAACGCUACAAAUGAACUGAUGGACAAAGCUUGUGCACUUGAGGGCUAGUUGAUGAAAAAAUACUCAGUUUGUUAUUCUAACAGCACCGGUUAUCUCUUCUAAUCGACACCAGUUACCUCUUCAUUAUACAACACCAGCCACGCACGCGCAUUCAAGCAGCAACUAAUUCCACUUUCGCUGCCCAUAACCGACCACUUAACCAUUGUCGUUGUCGAUUCAAUUCAAUCUCUUAUCUCCAUGGAUUUCACUCCUUUGAACUUUAAAGGUAUCUAAUUUGAACAUUCUUCUUAAUUUAUAAAUGAUUCAUUACUUAUCUGUCAUUUUAUUCUUAAUUUGUAUAUGGGGUAUUUACAUUUUUCGUAAAUGGUGUAAAAGUUGAUAUUGGUGUGCAUUCUUUGCCUUGAUUGGGUUGACCUAUGUCCUAUCUGAUCGGUAUAUAUUUUCUUUGUGUCAUGAUAAACAAGGAUGAAUAAAAGUUGGCUUGCUGAUUUGUGUGUGGAAGUCUGUUGGCAAUUUAUUAAUGAAGGAAAGAAAAAGGCCAACAAUUUUUGAGAGUGUGGCUUCCUCUCCUCAAAGUUGUAAUUUACUCAUUUAAGUUGUUUAGUAAUCGUGAAGUCUAACACUUGUCAUACUCAUCUGUAUUUUCCCUUCCAUCCUUGUAUAAUGUACAAUCAUUUGGACAACUAUCAAUCUUACCAUAUUGAAACCCCAAAUUCUUAUUCAGUUGCUUAUUUUUCUACGAUAAAGACAACAGAUUUAUAUCAGGAAAAACACUAACCAACAACUUCCGUAACAUAUAUGACUUUAUAGACCAACCAUGCAUGGAUUUCAAAUGAAAUAAAUGCAACACAAAAGACAAUUUUGAAUAAGUUGACCCCAGGAUAUAAUAAUUCAUCGGCUAACUCUCUAAUCCUUGCAUAUGCAGUAUCUUUAUGAUGUUCUCCCUCACCCAAUGCAGUUGAAUUAUUAAUGAAAUUUCAUUAGUCGUUUUUAGCACCUAUUUUUUUUACAUGUUUGUUCGUUAUUAAUUAUAAUUUUAUUAGUGAUGGUAGUAAGUUGAAAAAAUUUUCUACGAUGAUUAGAAAUUUGUUAACUCAUAACGUAGUUAUGCAUCGUAAUAAGUAACGUAAACUGUGGAGGUAAAACAUAAAGUUGAGCAACUACCCAUAAUAGUUCGAGAAAAUUAUAAUUAUUACCCGAGCAUAUUAUUUAAUCAUGAUGGGAAUAAAUUGAAUAUUUCAUACAUGUAUACAAGUGAUUUUAAACAUGAAAUACAAAUUACAUAACUUGUUAUAUGUACAAUAAUUUUUACCCAAACUUUAAACUAUCUUAGAUAAACCUUUCCUACACUAUAAUAAACCAAAUGUUGGACAAAAAUCACAAAAAAAAAAACAGCCCCAACCAGCCAUGCUAUAGCUGUCCCCGAUCCCCUUUAUAGCCUUUUGUACACUUACAUAUAUAAGCUAAAAACUCUACCCAAGAACCCCUUUUGUUCAAAUCUAUGUUGGGCCUUAUUACAUGCAUGCAAAGACUAUAUAUAAGAGCCAAAGAUUCUGAAUUUUUUGUAAAAAAAAGGCCCCUCCAUCAUCUUCAUUUCACUCAUAAAUUGUCACUUAAUACGCUCACAAACUCAUUCAAACAACUUCCCUUAAACACCUCUACAAGUCCUAUAUGCUUUCUACAAAAUCUCACUAAAAACACUUGAAAAAAACACCCAUUUUAGUGCAUAAUAGUUGUUGUCUAGAUUAAUAAAAUCAUUAUAUACUCCUCAAAGUAUAAUAUAAACACAUACAAGGUCAUCUCUAAUUACCUUAAACAAAAACACUUUCAUUUCCUUACAAAAACACUUACAAAAAGACUAUCUAUAUGAAGUUUAUGAACAUAAAAACUUUAUAAACAAAUUAUUCAUUUUAUUACACUUCAUCCAUACUAGUUUGGAGCAUUCUAACAAGGUAUUCUCAUUUCAAGUUUACACACUAUGUUUUACAACUUAUACAAAAACAAGUGUAUAUAAAGAUGAUUUUUAGUAUGAAAUCUUUGUCAUUAAUUAAUCAAGUAUGUUACAAAAAUAUAUUUUAUAACUAAAUCCGAAAGAUCAUCAUUUGUAUAAAUCUAUAAAAAUUGGAAAGUAAGAAAAUAUAUCUCCACGAACUUAUAAAUUUUAUUACUUAUAGGAAUUAAAGUAAAAUUGUGGGACUUGAUUAAGUACGUUGCUUAACAUAAUGAGUAUACUCCAAAUAUGUUAAAAUCAUCACAAGUAUUAAUUUAACAACCCUAACUAAGGAAAGUUAA